UGGGGUACACCCAGAGAAAAGGGGAAUCUGCUCCUAUAGGUGAGCCACCACCUGUUCCUGAUGCACUAUAAAACUGUGCUUCAGCACAGCUGGGUGCUAGGCCAAGGGAUAGCCUCCAGGAGCUGCUCUCUUCCACAUCAUCUGACUGCAUCACCAACAGCUCUUCUCUAGGAAGUCCUGCUGAAACCACUGGGAACAGUAUUUUAUGUAAGAAUGAGCACUGCUGAAGUGUAAGAAACAUGGGGAGUUAGUCCUAAUUCCAGGCAAAUAUGUGACUGCCUUUUGCUUAGUGGCAGAAUUCAGAUUUAGUUUGAGCUCUCUGGACCUUUCUUUCCAUCUUCAAACAUUUACAUGGACUUUCUUCUUCUGAAAAGCUUCUCCUUAGCUUCCAGGCUGCUGCCAAUAUCUGGUGGUGGCCAAGCUACUGCGCUUCCUGACUGCAGCAUGAUGUUCUUGCUGGCAAGCAGGACACACAAGUGGAUGCAUGGUCUUUGACCUGUUUAUUUCAUGACUUCUGAGGAACUGCAACAACAUCCCAUGUGUAGGGUCCCAUCAUUGCCCCUGCAUGAGCUGGUCUUUGCACUGCUUCAGAAAAGCUUUCUGUGCUCCUGACAGAGGAGAACAUCAUAGUCGGUAGAUGACAGACCCCAAAAUACCAACCCAAUAUGUAAUAGUCUGGGACCCUAACUUGUCCUUCCUACUUUGAUUAGAAUAUAGAGCAAUUUGGAUUAGUUGCAGUAGUAAUAAAAAGAAAUAUCUUUUUCUAUGAAGGCAUAGAAGCUUUUGUUGACAAAGAAGGGAGCUUCUAAUAUGGGCUGCUACUUUGUGUUGAUUCAUUAAACCUUGGUUUUUGUGUAAAUGGUGACUGUGUUUCCAAGAUAUAUGCCUGUUGAUAGAACAAUCUGUAUCUCUGUUCAUUACUGGUUGAAGUUCCAGCUUUGGAAUAUGCAAGAGUAUCUCAGAGCUUUGUAGCAGGUUAUAGGCCCUCACAUCAAAUCUUUCCAUGGUUAGAAGCAGUCAUGCUGGCACUGAUUGUUCCAUAGACUUGACAAGGGAAAUUAAUGGACUGUUUACCUACCAACAUUCAUGCCCCAGUAAUCAUGGCUGUGUUGGGCAGUGAGAGUUUUGCUUGCUAGCUGUCCUGUGUCGUGACAAUGGCAG
ensembl:lncRNA